rnacentral:rRNA from 1 species
GAAUAUUGGACAAUGGGCGCAAGCCUGAUCCAGCCAUGCCGCGUGAGUGAUGAAGGCCUUAGGGUUGUAAAGCUCUUUUAGCGGGGACGAUAAUGACGGUACCCGCAGAAAACGCCCCGGCUAACUUCGUUCCAGCAGCCGCGGUAAUACGAAGGGGGCUAGCGUUGCUCGGAAUCACUGGGCGUAAAGCGCACGUAGGUGGGUUCUUAAGUCAGGGGUGAAAUCCUGGAGCUCAACUCCAGAACUGCCUUUGAUACUGGGAAUCUUCGAGUACGGGAGAGGUGGGUGGAACUGCGAGUGUAGAGGUGAAAUUCGUAGAUAUUCGCAAGAACACCAGUGGCGAAGGCGGCUCACUGGCCCGGUACUGACACUGAGGUGCGAAAGCGUGGGGAGCAAACAGG